rnacentral:sRNA from 1 species
UAUUCUGCCCUACGGGGAAGGAUGAGAAGCUUCGACUAAGGUUCGACUCGAGCGNAGCGAGAGAACGUUGCCGCAGGCAACGGCCCGAANNCGAGGCGCUUUAGCGCCGAGUUAUCCUUCCCCCACCGCUU